UGUCGGGUCGUCCAACGGUAGGACAGCAGAUUUUGGCUCUGCUUAUAGGGGUUCGAUUCCCUUCCCGACAACCA
rnacentral:tRNA from 1 species